rnacentral:rRNA from 1 species
GCUCCUAGUACGAGAGGACCGGAGUGGACGAACCUCUGGUGUUCCGGUUGUCACGCCAGUGGCAUUGCCGGGUAGCUACGUUCGGACAGGAUAACCGCUGAAAGCAUCUAAGCGGGAAGCCCCUCCCAAGAUUAAUUCUCACUGAACCUUUAAGGUUCCUGAAGGGCCGUGGAAGACUACCACGUUGAUAGGCUGGGUGUGGAAGUGCAGUAAUGCAUGAAGCUAACCAGUACUAAUUGCCCGUGAGGCUUGACCAUAUAACACCCAAGAGUU